UGGGGGAUAUUGCACAAUGGGCGAAAGCCUGAUGCAGCGACGCCGCGUGGGGGAUGAAGGCCUUCGGGUUGUAAACUUCUUUUGCUCUGAACAAGGCAUGCCUUUGGGGUGUGUUGAGUGUAGGGGUUGAUUAGCGCCGGCUAACUACGUGCCAGCAGCCGCGGUAAUACGUAGGGCGCGAGCGUUGUCCGGAAUUAUUGGGCGUAAAGGGCUUGUAGGUGGCUGGUUGCGUCUGUCGUGAAAGCUCAUGGCUUAACUGUGGGUUUGCGGUGGGUACGGGCUGGCGUGAGUGCAGUAGGGGAGGCUGGAAUUCCUGGUGUAGCGGUGGAAUGCGCAGAUAUCAGGAGGAAUACCGGUGGCGAAGGCGACUUACUGGGCUCAUUCUGACGCUGAGGAACGAAAGAGUGGGUAGCAAACAGG
rnacentral:rRNA from 1 species